AAGCACUCCGCCUGGGGAGUACGGUCGCAAGACUGAAACUCAAAGGAAUUGACGGGGGCCCGCACAAGCGGUGGAGCAUGUGGUUUAAUUCGAAGCAACGCGAAGAACCUUACCAGGUCUUGACAUCCUCUGACAAUCCUAGAGAUAGGACGUCCCCUUCGGGGGCAGAGUGACAGGUGGUGCAUGGUUGUCGUCAGCUCGUGUCGUGAGAUGUUGGGUUAAGUCCCGCAACGAGCGCAACCCUUGAUCUUAGUUGCCAGCAUUCAGUUGGGCACUCUAAGGUGACUGCCGGUGACAAACCGGAGGAAGGUGGGGAUGACGUCAAAUCAUCAUGCCCCUUAUGACCUGGGAUACACACCAGUGCUACAACGGACAGAACAAAGGGCAGCGAAACCGCGAAGUCCUAAGCCAAGGUACCCACAAAUAUGUUCUCAGUUCGGAUCGCAGUCUGCAACUCGACUGCGUGAAGUCCUGGAAUCGCAAGGUAAUCGCGGAUCAGCAUGCCGCGGUGAUCAUACGCUCACGUGAAGUCCUUGUACACAACGCCCGUCACACCGACGAGAGUUUGUAACACGGCUCAGUGAAGUCCGUAACAAGGUAACCGAC
rnacentral:rRNA from 1 species